AUUGAACGCUGGCGGCAGGCCUAACACAUGCAAGUCGAACGGUAACAGGAAGAAGCUUGCUUCUUUGCUGACGAGUGGCGGACGGGUGAGUAAUGUCUGGGAAACUGCCUGAUGGAGGGGGAUAACUACUGGAAACGGUAGCUAAUACCGCAUAACGUCGCAAGACCAAAGAGGGGGACCUUCGGGCCUCUUGCCAUCGGAUGUGACCAGAUGGGAUUAGCUAGUAGGUGGGGUAACGGCUCACCUAGGCGACGAUCCCUAGCUGAUCUGAGAGGAUGAACAGCCACACUGGAACUGAGACACGGUCCAGACUCCUACGGGAGGCAGCAGUGGGGAAUAUUGCACAAUGGGCGCAAGCCUGAUGCAGCCAUGCCGCGUGUAUGAAGAAGGCCUUCGGGUUGUAAAGUACUUUCAGCGGGGAGGAAGGGAGUAAAGUUAAUACCUUUGCUCAUUGACGUUACCCGCAGAAGAAGCACCGGCUAACUCCGUG
rnacentral:rRNA from 1 species